AGUGAACGCUGGCGGUAUGCCUAACACAUGCAAGUCGAACGACAGCACAGUAAGAGCUUUCUCUUACGGGUGGCGAGUGGCGGACGGGUGAGGAAUACAUCGGCAUCUACUUUUUCGUGGGGGAUAACGUAGGGAAACUGACGCUAAUACAUCAUAUGACCUACGGGUUAAAUCAGGGGAUCUUUGGGCUUUGCGUGAUUGAUUGAGCCGAUGUCGGGUUACCUAGUUUGCGGGGUAAAGGCCCACCAAGGCGACGAUCCGUAGCGGGUCUGAGAGGAUGAUCGGCCACACUGGAACUGAGACACGGUCCAGACUCCUACGGGAGGCAGCAGUGGGGAAUAUUGGACAAUGGGCGCAAGCCUGACCCAGCAAUACCGCGUGGGUGAAGAAGGUCUUCGGGUUGUAAAGCCCUUUUGUUGGGAAAGAAAAGCAGCAGGUGAAUACCCCGAUGUUUUGACGGUACCCAAAGAAUAAGCACCGGCUAACUUCGUG
rnacentral:rRNA from 1 species